rnacentral:rRNA from 1 species
AUACGUAGGGGGCGAGCGUUGUCCGGAAUGAUUGGGCGUAAAGGGCGCGUAGGCGGCCUGUUAAGUCUGGAGUGAAAGUCCCGCUUUUAAGGUGGGAAUUGCUUUGGAAACUGGCGGGCUUGAGUGCAGGAGAGGUUAGUGGAAUUCCCGGUGUAGCGGUGAAAUGCGUAGAGAUCGGGAGGAACACCAGUGGCGAAGGCGCCUAACUGGAACGGACCUGACGGUGAGUAACGAAAGCCAGGGGCGC